UCGGGUGCCGCCUGUAUGCCGCACCCGCAGCCACGCGCCCGAGGCCGAGCUCCCGAGCGCGCCGCCGCCUCGACCUCGCGACCCGCCGGCGACCGGAUCCUCGCCGGAGAUGAGUGCCGCCGUCCCCUGCUCCCUCCUCUCUCCCUCUGUCUCCUCUCACCUUGCUCAUCCCCCGAUCUCUCUGUCCCCCAGAACGAAAGGAGCAUGCCAUGGCCUCGGAUCCGCGCCGCCGUCGCCGGAGAACCUCGUCCGCCACCGGUUCUUCGACCACAACUACCGGAUCAAGUUGCCCCGCCUCUGAUCUACCCGUUCCCGGCCACCCCAACCUCGCCUCGUCAUCGGGCGCGCAGAGAGACGGCCAUGGCCGCCUGAUUCCCGAGCGCCGCCGGCCAAGGUAUUGGAGGGGUGGUUCUGGAGCACAAGCUGCGGCGAGUUGUGCGCUAUGUGACAGAGGAGACCGCCGAGAUCUUGCAAGGGUGGUUCCGGAGCGAAGUGGGAUGUGUGUCGGGUGAAGGACGCCCUUGUGGCGAACGGCGCUAGGUGCUAUCAGCUGGGAAGGCUUCGGACCGGACCAUGGAUGGUGCAGCGGGUGAGAGUUGGGGCAGACGGCGAGUGUGGUGGAUGCCGAUGCCGCCUAGGUUCUGUUGAUAUCGACAUGGAGGAUACAUAGAGUUUGCUGACUCUAUUUCUGUGUUGGCCCUUGAGAGGGAAACCAAGGCAAAAUUCAGCCAAUUUCAGGUGCAUAUAUAUAUCUAUCCCAUGGGUUUGAGUCCCUAGCUAACUUGGAGCAUUGCACGUAUUGUUAAAUAUAGUUAGUUUCUUUAGUUUACUCGCAAUAAUUGUGAUAAGCAGAGCAGAUACGUGCUUGAUUUUAUUUUGAUACGUAGCUGGCAUGAUGUGAUUUACUAAGUAUUAAUUUGGAAAAACUAGGCCUGGAGAUAAUAUGCCUCCCCGUUUUCUGAGGAUAGUGACUUGUGCAGUGAUCAAAUUCAAUAGGUUUAUAUGAUAAGCUUCUUCAUCUAUGUUAAUUUUUACCUCCGUUUAUAGAACUCUGGUUGUGUUAACAGCUUGAGACGUCCUUAAAGACCUUGUGGUUGAUUUCCAUGUCUGCAUGAUAAUUGCUUGCUGAAAUAACUGGUCCUUCAGCUGUACACUGUAGUUAGGGAAAUCCAUAAUCUUCAUAUACUUAAAGCAUGACAUUUACCUGGAGAUAGUGUGCCUCCCUGUUUUGUGCAACAAUCGAUUGUGGUGAUAUACUGUGGCCAAAUUGAAUGAGCUUAUACGAUUAACUUCUUCAUCCACAUUUUCAGUUUGGUUUAUGGAAAUUGAACUACUGUCGUGUUAACACACUCAGCCAGGGCGUCGCCGCACUCUAUCAGCCUCGUGGGGCUUGCAGGUUAAGUAGGUUGCGCCCACUCCAUCAGGAUGUCCUCCCCACUGUUAGUGUUAACUGAUUAAUCAUGCACAUCCAUUGAAGCAAAGAUUCAGACAAAUGUUUGAUUCACUAUAAUUAAUCAAUCAGUAAAAGACCAAUUGCUUAAUCCUACUAGCUAGACACUCCAUCCAUCCAAUCCAGUGAGUUUAAAUUGAUUAAUCCUGCACAUCCUUAAAUUAUGAAGAGUAAUGAAAAUAUUUUGGUGUUGGAGGAGCAGCCAGCAAGUGCAGUUUCUAUGGAGAACACUGAUUUGCGACCUCAGCUCAGCCAUAUUGAAUAAAUUGAUUACUCUAUGAAAUAGGAGUUAGCCCAUAAUAGUAAUGCCACUCCAAUAUUGGAGGAAGUGUCGAUUGAGCUGAGAAAAUUACUUGACGAUGAAAGGAACGGCUUGCUUCAAAAUUUGCAAAAUAACUUCUCCAAGCUCUCAGUAGAGAAGCAAUAAUGUGACUCCCAGGUGCCACUCUGAGAGAAAAGCUGGAGAUGCUUUGGCAAUGGCAAAAUAAUAAGUAAUUGCUACAGACGCCAGCCAGAUAGCAGAUGAAAGGACAAGGGUGAAAAAGUCAAGCUAUUGGAGAGGUCAAUUGAGGAGAUCAGAAGUACUUUAUGUGCUCUCAAAAGUAGCUUUACUCAGUUUGAGUGGAUUUUGUGGCCUAACUUCCAGACUAGCAUUUUGGAAGAAGUUAGAAUUUAUGUUAAUACGACUUUAGUUUAGCCUGACUGAAAUAAGGGGCAAUACUUAAUUUUGUAAUGUA